CCUACGGGAGGCAGCAGUGGGGAAUAUUGGACAAUGGGGGCAACCCUGAUCCAGCAAUGCCGCGUGAGUGAUGAAGGCCUUAGGGUUGUAAAGCUCUUUCGGCGGGGACGAUGAUGACGGUACCCGCAGAAGAAGCCCCGGCUAACUUCGUGCCAGCAGCCGCGGUAAUACGAAGGGGGCAAGCGUUGUUCGGAAUUACUGGGCGUAAAGGGCGCGCAGGCGGCCGACGUAGUCAGGCGUGAAAGCCCCGGGCUUAACCUGGGAAUUGCGCUUGAUACUAGUUGGCUAGAGUUCGGGAGAGGAUGGUGGAAUUCCCAGUGUAGAGGUGAAAUUCGUAGAUAUUGGGAAGAACACCGGUGGCGAAGGCGGCCAUCUGGACCGAAACUGACGCUGAGGCGCGAAAGCGUGGGGAGCAAACAGGAUUAGAUACCCUGGUAGUCCACGCUGUAAACGAUGUGUGCUAGACGUUGGCGGGCCUAGCCUGCCAGUGUCGCAGCUAACGCGUUAAGCACACCGCCUGGGGAGUACGGCCGCAAGGUUAAAACUCAAAGGAAUUGACGG
rnacentral:rRNA from 1 species